UCAAAUAUGAUUUUAUAAUAUUAGUAAGAGUUUUUCUCUUUAGUUCUUCAAAGAAUUUUCAGAAGUUAUCAAGAUUUCAUUUUGUGGCUUUUUUUUUUACUUAUCACUCACAAUUUUUCACUUCUUUCUUGAGUAUGGUGUCAACCCUAGUCUUCUUAUACCCUUGGUUUGUAGAUAACAAGUCAAUGUCUUGAUUUUAUGUUGUUUUUUAAUUUGAAUUAGAAUGAUCUUAGCAAAGGAGCCUCAUUAAGUACAUGAUUUCACUUAAUGAUGUUUACGUUAUUUUUAGGGGUAUUUUGAACAUGAAACUCGAAACUUUAGACAUCCAGCAUCUAACAUAAAUAUGAAGUAUUUGCACAUGAAAUAGGAAAUAUGAGAUAUGAAACAAUGAAUGUGAAAAAUGAAACACUGAUAUCUAUCAUGGUACAAAUAAAGAUAUGAAACAUGGGACUUUGUACAUGAAAUACUAACGCCAAACAUGAAACUAUGGGAAAAAAAUAAGAUUUUGGCAUUAUUUCAAACAUGAAACUCUAAACUUCAAAGAUGCAACUUUUGACGUAAAUGUGAAACAUAAAUUUGUACAUGAAACAAAAACAUAAAAUUUGCAAUUAUCAAUAUAAAUUAUGCAACAAUGUAUAUUGAACAUGAAACACAAUAUGCAUAAAACAAAAAAUGCUAGGCAUGUAACUUGGGUAAUUAUAUAUGCAACAUGAACCUCAAACUUAAAACUAUGGUUAAAUAAUAAAUUUUGGGUUUUUGAAAGUGCGAAACCUGAGCACAUAACAAUAUAUAUAUAAAUUUAAAUGUCAAAUAUGAAACAACCUUUUAUCCUUUAAUACAUAAAUGUUUUAUUUUUUAUUUUAAUAAGUUAAUUUUGGUUCGUCCCAGCAUUGUAGCCAUGCCGCUUAUUUUUCACAAGUAUGAUUUUCCAUUGAUACUUUGACAAAGAUAGGAUAAGGCCCUUUCAACACAAGUACACAACAUUGGAAAUUGAGAUUCUAGAAUUUUUAAAGCACUACCAAACUUAUUUCUAAAACUUUUUUUUAAAAUAUUGUCAUAGUUAUCUAAUUUACACUACUAGAAAAAUGGUCUUUUGUGACACUUGUCUUCUGACACUUUAUUAUAAAGUAUCAGUAAUUACAUGUAUUUGGGGCAUUUUCCGUGUUUAACGGAUAAGUAUCACAAAUUACUAAUACUACGAUAUCAGUAAAUUAAAUAUCACAGAUUCGUGACACUAAAGUAUUAGUAGUUAAAAAAAUAAAAUUUUAAUUUUGUAUCUAGUAAUAAUUGAACCGAAGACCCCUAAGCCAUAACCUUUUUAUUUUAACCGCUAUACCACUCGGCCACAAAUUGCAUUUUUGAACUUAUAAAUUAAUAAAUAAAUAAAUAUUAAAACUUAAAACCUAAAACCUAGAAAUCUUUCAUGUAUGGUCUGUGUGAAACCUAAAACCUAAAAAUUUUUGUUAAGUCAAAAAUCUAUCUCACGGCCGCCGAAGCUUUCUUCCUUCUCUCUCCUUCCCUCUCUCUCGCUCUCUUUCUCUCUCUAACAAUGAUCUACCUUGAAAGCCGCCUCUAUCAACACCUUGAAACCCGUCGUCCUUAAGCUAAAAUAUCCCUGAAAAGAACCCAGAAAGUGCUGUGAAGAAUUUGGGCAAAGCUAAGGUUUGAAAGUCCGAAUCAGUGUUGUGGUAAUUCUUUGUCUCAUUCUCUAUUCUCAUUGUUUAAGUAUUUAUCUGUUAAUUGAUUGAUGUUUAUUGAGUGCAAAUGAGAGCUUGCACUUGUUUGGAAAUCUAGCCAUCUAAGGUUUUUGUUGCUUAUAAUCUAAUUUAUUGUUUAAUAAAAUAAAUAAAACACGGCUUUAUUAUAGGUGGAAUUCAAUUUAUUAAGUGAAGGAAUGAUUACAAUCGGUGAUUAUGGAUUUAGGUUGAAUGCAAUUUGUUAAUUAAAAGAAUAAUGGCAAUCAACAAUCAUGGGUUUAGUAUGUAUUAUAUAUUUCGUUUAAUGGUGUGUAUGAAAACCCAAACCUAAAAUUUUCUUAAGUAAAAAUCUCCAUUCUCCCUCACGACCUAUAAGCCCAUCACUCUCUCUCUCUCUCUCUCUCUCUCUCCCCUCUUUCUAGCUAACAACCCAAAACUUAUUGUGAAACCGCCAUAUCAAUCUUUCAAAGCUCAUUAGUUAGCUGGUUAUUGUGAAAAGUAAGCUUUUGUUUGCUUUUAUGUCUAAUUUUACUUUAAACAUUGGGAUUGUUGAUAUUCGAGUUGCUGGACACUUGAUUUUGAGGUGAAAGAUUAAUUAAUAGUUUACGAAAUUAUGCUGAAAAUUUGAGGAUUGAUAGACUAUUGUUGUGAACUUGGUUGUUUCCGAACUUGACUAAAUGACUUUCAAUUGAUUUGAAAGUUUGAUUAAACUAAGUUUAAAUGAGAACAUUUUAAUUCUGGAAAUUUUGGAAUGAAUUGGGUUUAUAUUUGAUUUUGAAUGGAUUUCUCAACAUGGUUGGUUGUUGUCCAAUUUUAUUAGAAAUUACAUAUGUACCAUGUUUGAUAUUGCAAACGUAUAGUAUAACAGAGUUAGAAUAAGCUGAAAUUCGGAUAAACUACACUUCUAUUUGCAUACUUCGAAUCUGGAAAGUUUUAUUUUGAUUGAACUUGUAGUUUAUUUUUAAUGAUUUUUCAAACUCUGUUGUCUCUGCAGUAACUUCUUUUGACAGAAUUGUUCAUUAAUCUUUGAUCCUAUCAAACACUAGCCUAAUGAUAUCGGAAUAGCCUCAAAUUUUAAUAUGUUGUUGACUUAUAUGUCCACUUAAAAUCUAGAAAGUAUCAUUCUGAUAUAUUUAGUAUUUUAAAUUUAAUAUAUAUUCAAACACCUGCUGUUACAGUUACAGUUUCAUAUGCAAUUUUGACAGAACUGUUCACUAAUGUUUGAUCCUAUCAAACACCAGCCUAAUGAUAUCAGAAUAGCCUCAAAUUUUAAUAUGUUGUUGACUUAUAUGUCCACUUAAAAUCUAAAAGGUAUCAUUCUGAUAUAUUUAGUAUUUUAAAUUUAAUAUAUAUUCAAACACCUGUUGCUACUUUUACAGUUUCAUAUGCAAUUUUUACUUAUAUGGUUUUAUCAUGUGAGAAGCAAAUGUAGAGUUGUCCAAAUGACUUGGAAAUUUGAUUUGUGGCGCAUUGACAUGUCUAAUUAUGUUUUGUUCAUAGCAUUCCAAAUUAAAUUAAAGAGAAUCUUAAAUUCAAGCUGUCAACGUUUCCUAUUAAAUCUGAUUAGUGAUAAAUCUACUAACUUGCAGUACUUUUCAAGGAAACAAAUGUGUCAACACUGUGAAUUGCAACGGGAGAAGAAAGUACCAAAGGCAUAAAUCUUUUUUCAUUAUAUUUGGGACUAUUCUUAAAGGUUAGUCUUUUCCUUUUUCCUUUUUCCUUUUUCCUUUUUUUCUUUUUUAUUUAAGGUAAUCAUAUCCUUUUAAUUUUAAUUACAAUCAAUUUGGCGCUGUUGGACAACUCGGACCAACCAAUCCAACAACAAAUGAAGAUAACAUUUUUGAAAUGCAUUCAGUUUUUGACAAUAGCAAAACGAAAAAGGAAAAAUGAUACUAGUUUAGGCUUUAGGAAAUUUGCAUCAUGAUUCUUGCAUUGCAGUUGCCUCUAUCUCGGUGCUCUUGGAGAAGUAAUCUUGCUUGAUUUUGCGUGAUAGUUGAUACAAGCCCGUCUUAGCCAUUGCAAAAUUGACACUAAAAAGGUUCUAAUUUUUUAUUUUGUAGUUUGAAAAGUCUGCAAUGUUUGCUAUGCUAAUGCCCCAUUUGAAUGUUGGAGCCCAAAAAUGAACGGUUUUAGGACCAGCCGGGUGGUUCCAGAAAGCUAGAAGCUUGUCAGCUAUUCUUUUUAAUUGAACUAAUUUAACUUAAAUAUUAGCCCGAUUAUUAAUUUCUAUAGUUUGCAAUUGAUUUGAGUUUGACAUUCUUGUUUUGUGUUGGUUUGAGUUUGACAUUCUAGUUUAAGACUUUGAAGGCUUCCAAGAAAUGAUUUUGGAUGAUGAGCAUAUGAGUAAUAGUUUGAAAAUUAAUUUACUGUAUCAAAUAUAUACUUAGUGUAGCAUAUUAAUUUUAAGAACUAUGGAUUAUUCCAUGAAUAUUCUAGUAAAUAGUUAUAUUAUGUAUGCAUGUCUUAAUAUAUAAUAAUUAUAUUUUGAAGUUUGUUUUUUUUUCCCUUUCUAGGUUUAGGAAAAAUGUUUAAAGUGAUUUUGGGUUAUGAUGUCAACCAAAUUAAAGCAACAUUACUUGUGAGUGGAAAUAUAUAAUGAUUAUAUUUUUAAUCUACUUUUUUCUUAUUUUCUUAAAAUUUUAUAAUUAGGCAAAAUUAAUGAAUACGUAAUUACAAUUUAGGGUGAUAUUCUUUAAAUGUUUCACAUGAAUAGAUUUAAGUAGUAUAAUAAAUCUCAUACUCACUUUAUAAAGGCUUAACUAAGUUUGCAAAUAUUAUUUCUUUUAGUAGUAAUAAUUUUGGAUCGAACUCUCAAAUUAUUGAAACAUUUUAUGUCCAAACUUUAUUAUGCCUAAUAUAAAUAUGGAGAUUCAUAGUUAUUUUAUGCUCAGUUUAAGGAAACUGCAGUUUAAGAACUUAUUUUUUGCCUUGUUAAAUAAGUUUUUAGAAUAAAUAAAUUGAGGAAAUGAGUGGUGAUUUAUUUAUAAUAGAGCAUUUGUGAUAGCUUUUAACUAUGCACAAAAAUCAUUUGGUAUAUGUAGAUAAAGUAACAUGCUUGUGCUGAAAGUAGAUAUUACAUUGAAAACUUCUUGUCUGCUAUAGUUUGCUAUAUAUAUAACCUUUACCAAAAGAGAAUAAUUGAGUUUAUUUAUAAAUAGCUUAUGAGUAUUUUUUUUCUUUCAAACAAAAUAAUUUUAUUUCUGUUAAUUGUUGUUUCUCUAAUGGCUGGAUAUUGGCAGCUAAUUUUUUUUUUCUUUUCCAUGUAUUCAUAUGCAGAUUUGAUCAAUGUGUUUGAAGUGUUUAUUUGUCAACUUCACUUAUAUCCUAACCCAUAUAGUCUAUUGAAUGGAGAAGCUGCUGGUGUGAUAACGCAAUUAUACUACUGAUAUUCAAAGAGUGAAGGGAAACCAUCCUUCUCAAUUUAACUUCUAGAUUUAUUAAAUUUAGCCACAAGUAGUAGGCAUUUGAUGGAUGGUAGAAAUUUUUGUGUAUUGAAUUUGGAUUAUUUAGUUAUGAGAGUAGGAUAUCUCAUAUUUUUGUCAUUGAAGUUUUGGAAUUUGUAAUAUAUACUAAUAAUAUUUAAAUGUAAAAUGAAAGAUUUUGUGAUAUAAAUCAAUUUCUUUUUGUUAUUUUGUGGUGCCUUUUAAUUUUACCAAUAAAUCAAUAGGCAAUGAUCCAAUUCAAUUUUUUAUUUUUUAAAAUAAAUUAACUAUUGAUGCCAUGGUAAUAGUAAUUAUAGACACUAAUAAAAUAUCAAUAACUACUAAUACUAUGGUGUCAUAAUAUCGGUGAUACUGUGGUAAUAGUAAUCACUGACACCACUUACAAGUGUCACUAUUUUUCUUACUCCCAGAUUACUGACACAAUUAACAAGUGUCAGUGAAAGUAAUUUCUGACACUAUUCUAAAGUCAGUAAAAACCAUUUUUCUAGUAGUGUUAUUUUUCUUUUUUCAAGUCAUGAAGCUCUAUUGAGCAGCCGUUUCAGGGUUUAGAUUUUAGUUUUGGUUUUAAUUGAUUCAUGAAUUAAUAAAAUGUUUUUACUAUUUUAGAGUAGUAUUUUUUAUGUUGCAUCAUUUUUAUCAACAUAUCUUUAUUAGGGUUGGAUUUGUACUUUGUCCUAAAUAAGUUGUACUAGGUGUAUAUUUGACAUUUCUUUUUAAAAACAAAAAAAAUGUAGAUGCUUUGUAAAUAUUUGGCUUCACAUUUUGGUGAGAAAAAAUCCCACAUGGAAAAUUUAGCAACUCCUUCGCCUUUGAUUAACCUGUACAUAUGUGGAUUGUUUCUUAAGAUUAGCAUGUAGAAAAAUCAAUUAAGAAAAGCUUAUUAAUUAUAAGCUAUCUAAAAAGUACUUUAUUUAGUUCACAAUUUUUUGUUAUCCAUUUAUUUUAUAACACAUUAUCAGCACGAUAGCUGAUUGUGGGCAGUUUAAUUUUUAUUGCUUAUGUUUAUUAUGUCUUAUCAUUAUGUUUUAUAUUGUGAGUUUAUUAUUCAUGUCAAUUUAAUUAUUUUUUGUUUAUAAUAAUUUUAAUGGCUGAUUCUAUAAUACCGCUUAUAUUGUUAUUACCUUAUUAAUAUGUUAUUAUUUUGUUAAGAAUGAUUGUUUAAUUAUUUGUCUUUCAAUAUUGUUGUUGUAACCUAAAGUUUACAAUAUAAAUGAGGUGGUGAGAAUGUAAAAUUCUAACCUCAUUAAAAAUCAAAACCUGAAAUUCUAAGUUAUGAUUUUAAAAUUUAGGACCUGAAAUUUUGAAUAUAUGCAUAAAGUUUAUAUAUAUUUCAUAAUUUGUGGUUUUGCUUAUGUUCAAAUAUCUUAUAUUUAUAUUAUAAUACUUAUUUUUCCUUUGAUUACUAUAAAAAGCUUUUGAAAAAUAGCAAAUCUCACAAAUCUGCAAAUCCCUGCUCCUGGAGUUUCUGGAAGAAACUAUCUUUCUUGGGUGUUGAAUGCAAAAAUGCACCUAUAAGUUAUGGGCCUGGAUGACACAAUAGUAGAAGAAAAUAAAACAUCUUUGUAGGAAAAAUCAAAGGCUGUGAUUUUCCCCUGCCUCCAUUGCACAUGAGAGCCUGAAAACUCAAUAUCUAAGGAUCCAUUAAAUAACCUCAAGGAAAGAUUUUACCACCAAAGGGAUAUUUUCCUUUAAAAUGCCAAACAUAAGUGGUUAAACUUGAUGUUCUAGGAUUAUGCAAGAGUCUCUGAUUACAACUCUGCUCUAUUCUGCAUGACCUCAUAAUUGAAAUUGUGUGGUGUAAAUAUUACUAAUAGAAGUACGCUUGAAAAGACACAUAGAAGUACGCUUGAAAAGACACUCUACUUUUUAUGCAUCAAACAUUGUCCUACAAUAACAAUAUCAAGAGUGUCGAUAAAGAAAAUACUCUAAACUAAUAACAUUUCUUUUAGUUAUUGAAAAACAUAAUGAGCUCCUGAUGAAAAAUCAUGAAUUACGUCUAAUUAGCUCUCAAGCAUUCCCAAAAGCAAGUGAAAAUACACAUACUGAUAGUAGAUAAUUGAGGAGGCAAAAGAGGCCGUAGUCACUACCGUCCAGUGGCGGACCUGCACGUGGUACAACCCGGUCUAGUUUAGAAAAAAUCAUUUACACCCCUUACUUUUUUAAUAAUUUAGUAAAAUAAUAGAGUUUUCAUUUAUUUUCAUAUAUGUCCCCAACUCAACUACCCUUACAUUUUCAUCAAUUUAGUAUAACAAUAGAGUUUUCAUUUUAUAUUUAAAUAUAUCCCUAACUCAAUUACCCAUAUGUUUUCAUUAAUUUUAUAUAAUAAUAGAGUUUUUAUUUUAUUUAUAAAUGUGUCCCUAAGUCAAUUAUAUUAUUUUCAAUUGAAAUUAGUGACUUAUUUUAUAAAAUGAUUAAAUUAUAUAUUUAUUGAAUAGAUUGAAAACAUUAGGGUGUUAAAAUUUUAUUACUGCUUUAAUUUAUUUUAAAAAGCUUCUAAUUAAAAAAUAUAUAUGUCAAUGUAAUAUAACAUCAUCACUAGACUUAAAAGUACUCACAGAAAUAACAUAUAGUAACAAUUAUCAAUAUUUUCAUAAAAUUUUAAUGUGAAUUUUCAGAUUUUAUUUAUUAGUUAUAUUAACUAAGAGGACAAGUUAGAAAAUAAAAUUUGAGUAUUUUAAGAGCUUUUAAUAGAAGAAUCAUCAACUUCUAGUUCUUUAAAGAGAGACAGAGCAUCUGACAAAGAAACAACUGCACCCAAAUAUCUUUUUGUUGAAUUGAGUUUAGUUUAGUUUAUUAUUGAAACUUUUGAUUAAAAAUACUUUUACAAUUUGAAAGGAUGAAUAAAUUUUAAUUAUUUAAUUUAUUAAGUCUGGUAAUUUAGUACUUCACUUCAAGCAUAAAAGUUUUACUUUCAAUUUUUAAUUGAUUGUAAUUACAUGUAUUGAUCUAUUUUAAUUUAAAAUUCUUAAUUGAUUUUUUAAUCCUUAUAUAAUUACAAGUUAUUAUAGGUUGCAAUGUCAAAUUCUAUAAUUAAAAAAUAAUUUCAUAUUUGAGUUGUCUUUUGUUUUCUACUCUUUUUUUAUAAUUAUUUUUGUUUAUAGUACAUAUUUAGAGAGAUAAAGUUCUUGGUAUUCCUCCUUAUUUAAUAUAUUAUUUCUACUUAUAAAUUUUUAUGUUCGCUUUAAAACAUAAAUUUUAAAAUUUAGCCCGGGAUAAUAUUAAAUUCUGGAUCCGCCCCUGCUACCGUCGUAGUGGUUACAGGCAUGCAGGACAGUUGAACAAUAAAAAUGGAUGCCACAGAAGUGGAACGUCUAUGAGAGACAUAGUAAAGAAGAUGGUUCAGAAAGAAAACAAGACUAGAUAUGAUAACGAAGAAAUUUGUUAUUGAUGUGGAGGAAAAAAGUCAUUAAUCACGUACCUGCAGUACGAACAAACACUUAGUAGACCUCUACCAUGCAUCCAAGAAGAGGAAAAGAAAAACUAAGACUACUUUAGUCGAUAACUGAAAUACUGUUGAUUUGACUCUUCUUAAUGUGUUUGAGGAUAUAAAGGGGGAAAAUUAUCACUUAAUCAGUGAUAAUGUGAUGUACUUAAUAUUUAUAUUUAAUUCUGAUGUCUAACGUGAACCUUUGUUUAAUGAAAGGUUAUGGAUUUUAGAAAUAAAAUUACCUAUUUUGGAAACGAGAGCUGGGGAGGUAUGCUUGGUUGAUAGUGCAACCACAAGUACUAUUCUCCGAGAUCAAAAUAUUUCUUGGAGACAAAAUUACUUAAAUGAAAAGUAAAUAAUACAUCUGGUCCUACAGACUUGAUAGUAGGGUCCAGAAGAGCCAUACUCUUGUUGAUAAGUGGAACAAAAUUAAUCAUCCAAAAUGCUUUGUAUUCAACAAUAUCCAAAAGGAAUCUACUGAGCUUUAAAGAUAUCCGGCAAAAUGGAUAUCAUAUUGAGACUUUAAAUGAAAAUAAUAUAAAUAUUUCUACAUUACUAAGAAUGUCUCAGGAAAGAAGUGCAUAUUAGAAAAGCUCAAAGCAUGCUCAUUAGGAAUAUAUUACACAAUCAUAAAUGUGAUUGAAAGCUACACAUUGAUGAACCAAACGUUGAUCUACAAAUAUUUAUGUUCUAACAUGAUCGCCUUGAACAUCCUGGAUCUACAAUGAUGCGUAGAAAUAUUGAAAAUGCUCAUGGAUAUCUGUUAAAGAACCAAAAGAUUUUGUUGUCCAAUGAAAUUAUUUGUAGCACUUUCUUACAAAGAAAAUUUGUGGUUAGACCAUCCCCUUCUAAGGUUGGUCAUAAAUCUCAUUCAUUUUUACAAAGAGUUCAAGGAGAUAUAUGUGGACCAACCCAUUCACUUAGGGGACCAUUUCAUUAUUUUAUAGUUUUGAUUUAUGCAUCUAUACGGUGAUCACAUGUUUGUUAUUGUCCUCCUGGAAUGUUGCAUUUGCAAGAUGGCUUGCCCAAAUUAUAAGAUUAAGGGCACAAUUUCCAAAUUAUCCAAUUAAAAUCGUACGUUUUGAUAAUGUUGGUGAGUAUAUAUAUAUUUAAGAUAUUUGAUGACUACUGUACAUUAGUAGGUAUCGAUGUUGAGCAUCUGAUUCCACAAGUACAUAUACAAAAUGGAUUGGCAAAAUAAUUGAUUAAGCAGUUGUAGAUAAUUGCAAAAACUUUACUUAUAUAUACAAAAUUACACGCGAGGUCAUGUUAUUCUACACUGUGGCAUUGAUUCGUCCAAGACCCACUAAUUAUCAUCAAUAUUCUCUAUAAUAACUUGUACUUAGUCAAUAACCUGAUAUUUCCCAUCUACACACUUUUGGUUAUGCUGUGCAUAUUUUGUAUCACCCUCUCAGUGUACAAAGAUAGGACCUCAACGUCAUUUGGGGAUUUAUGUAAGUUUCAACUCACUAUCAAAUAUAAGAUAUCUUUAACUCCUGACGGUUGAUCUUUUCACCGUACAUUUUUGUGGAUUGUCACUUUGAUGAGAUAUUUUAUUCCAUCAUUGAAGAAUAAAAAGUCUCCUAAAAUAAGGCAUGAAUUUUCUUAGGAAUUUUCCACUUUGUCUCAUUUAGAUGCUCAUACUAGUUAAUGUGAAAAUGAAGUACAAAGGAUAAUACAUUUGCAAUAAAUUGCAAAUAAAUUAUUAGAUGCAUUUAUAGAUACAACAUAGGUAACCAAGUCAUAUAAUCUAACUACUAAUACACCAGCUUGGGUGGUUGUUCCUACAAGAAGAUUAAGUGUAUAAGUAAUAAAUGAGUUAAUUGUUACACCUAAAAAAUAUGGCAGACCACUUGAUUCCAAACGCUAUGCUCAUCGGAAGAGGAGAAGAAAAUAUCAUAAUCCUAGAAUCCUAUUGAAAAUAAUGCUCGAGCUAUAAAUGUGCCCACAUUAUUUGAAUCAUUAGUUCUAAAAGAACUGAUAGUCCCUAAAGAGACAGACAUAAGUUCCUAAAGAGACAAUAACUCUUGAAGAGUUACGAAAACACAAAAAUAAGGAGAUGUUCACAUAUUAUACUUAUAUAAGGAAAAUGUAGGAUCGUAAUGAAAUAAAUAUCGACAAUGUAUUUUCAUUCACAAUAGCUACUGAAAUUACAAAAUGAUUUUGAGCCUAAAACUAUUGACGAAUGUAGACAAAGACAUGAUUGGCCUCAAUGGAAAGAAACCAUUCAAGCAGAAUUGACAUCUCUAGCUAAAUGUGAAGGUUUUGGGCCUGUACUCUUGACACCUAAAGAUGUCAAACCCGUUGGAUACAAAUGGGUAUUUGUGAGGAAACAUAAUGAGCAUAAUAAAAUCACUAAAUAGAAAGCACAACUAGUUGCACAAGAUUUCUCAAAGAGACCUAGUAUGAUUAUGAGAAUACGUAUUCUCUAGUGAUGGAUGUUAUUACGUUUCAAUUUUUAAUCAACUUAGUAGUCUUAGAAAUACUUGAUAUGCUCCUCAUGGUUGUAGUGACUGCAUAAUUUGUAUGGGUUACUUGACAUUAGUAUUUACAUGAAAAUUCCUGAAUGAUUCAAAAUGCCUGAAGUAUUUAAAUCAAAGGAUUGUAAUAUGUAUUCAAUCAAACUGCAACGGUCCUUACACAAAUUGAAACAAUUUGAACAUAUGUGGUACAAUCAUUUGGGUGAAUAUUUGAUUGAAAAGGAUACAAAGAUGAUCAUACUUACUUAUGCGUAUUUAUUAGAAAAUCCGAGUCUAGAUUUGCAAUUGUAGUAGUUUAUGUUAAUGAUAUGACUUAAUUAGAACUCUUGAAGAGCUUUAGAAAACUGCUAAAUGUUUAAAAAGAUAAUUUGAGAUGAAGGAUUCGGGGAAAACAAAAUAAUUUCAAAGCCUAUAGAUCGAGCAUAAAACAAACGGAGUGCUUAUCUAUUGAUCAACUUAUAUUGAAAAGAUCUUAACGCAUUCCAAUAUGCUAAUGCUUAUUUGCUAAGCACUCCUGUAGUUGUUCAGUCUCUCAAUCAUUAAAAAGGAUCCAUUCCACCCCAAAGAGUGUGACGAAGAGAUACUUGGUUCAAAAGUAUCAUAUCUUAAUGCAAUUAAUGCUUUAUUGUAUCUAGCUUAUUGUACUACACCAUGCAUUGCUUUCUUUGUGAAUUCAAUGGCAAGAGUUAGAUCAACGCUGACAUGCUGACAUUGGAAUGGCAUCAAACACAUCUUUUGAUAUAUUCGUUGAACAUCCAACUUGGGAGUAUUUUAUUCAGGUCAACCAUACAAAUAUACAGUCGAAGGGGGAGUGUUGUUAAUAUUUAGCUUCAUGUUUUCAUGACAAAAAAUCUCACAUGGAAAAGUUAGCAACUCCUCCCCCCUUGAUUAAUCAAUAAAUAUGUACAUCAUGUCUUAAGACUUGCAUGUAGAGAAAUCAAUUGACAGAGGCAUAUUAAUUAUAAGCUAUAAAUAAGGUACUUAAGAGUACUUCGUUAAGAGUAUUUCGUUUACUUCAAGUUUUUUUUUUGUUAUCUAUUAUUUUAUAACAAGAUGUAUUAUAUUAAUUACUCUUCAAGAAAAUCCCAUAUCAAUAAUAAAUUGAACAAUUUUUCUAUACAUAUUGAAAUUUGAUAUUUAGCAUAUAAGUUGAGAUAUAAGAUUAGCUCUUUCAAAGGGAUAAAUAUUAAAACGCAUAAGUGUUUUAUCGUGAAUUUAGAUCGGCGCUAAUUUAUUUUAAUUUUUAUCUUCUAAUAUUUAAUUUUCUGCCAUGAAUAAUUAAGAUCAGAUAGUUGCUAUUAUAUUCUUAAUUAUCAAAAAAUCAUCAAUCAUUAGUUUCUAAAAAACCAGUAAAAAAAAAUAAAAUCAGUAUUGAAUCCUUGUACUAUUAUAGAGUGAGGUUUAAGAGUGAUGAUNNNNNNNNNNNNNNNNNNNNNNNNNNNNNNNNNNNNNNNNNNNNNNNNNNNNNNNNNNNNNNNNNNNNNNNNNNNNNNNNNNNNNNNNNNNNNNNNNNNNUUUUUUACCAAAUUUUAUAUUUCUCCAUGUCAUAGUUAGGUUAAAAACUAUGACCGAAAGAGAGAUUAAAUGUUAGUUCGUAAGAUCGCAGUUCGGCACAUGUUCUAUCUUCCUUUCACUUUUUGUCUUUGUUUUUACAAUUGGUCACAAUUUCUGCCAUACGAGUAGUGCUGAGAAUUUGAAUGAGAAUUUAAAUACAUAUUUAUAAUAAAUUAGAAGUCUAUCAAAAAUAGUUUGAAAUUUUUCUCCUAUUAACAUUUGAGAAGAUAUCUACCGCACUCACAUUUGUAAUAAAGAAAAUAUUUGUGAAAACUUAAAUUUGUGUUCCCAAAUAAUAUUGAGGACUCACAAUCAAAUGCAAAUUAUUUUUGUACAAACUGACGAGUAAGGGUGGGCAACUUCAGGUUCGAAUCGGAUUUAUCCGAAACUGGUCAAAUUUCAGUUAAUUCGGAUUGGAAAAAAAUCCAUUUGAUUCUCAUCCGAACUUCAAAUCCGAUCCAAUCCGAUCCAAAACAAUUCGAAUCGGAUGAAUAUUUCGGAUAAGUUCGGAUUAGGAUCGGUUCGGAUUGAAUUUGGACUAAGGACCUUUUUUGCAAUUUUUGCAAAAAUUUCAUAAAUUCUGUAAUUACUGAAAAUAUAUAUAAUGUCCUAAUUUUCUCCAGAUGUGACAAAGAGAGCCACCGAGCAUUUGUGAAAUAAUAGCAUAGAAUGAAAGGGUAAUUUUUAGAGACCUCCCCUGAGGUUUGGUGUAUUGAUAGUCUGAUAGACAGUAUUCAUGUAAUUACAGGGACCUCCCCUGACAUUACUACAUAGUUAACUUGACUGUUAGUGGACUAACGAAAAGCCAAAAAUGCCCUUGGCCUAAAAAAUGCUUUGACAGUUAACAAUUUCUUUAAUGAUAGUAACUAUAGUUUGGCGUUAAAGAUCACACUAAAACACUAAAAAGUCUAAACUAACCAUUUAAAACAAAUCAUUGACAUUACAUAAUAUUAAAAAAAAUGAGAAAAAUAUAAAUUAAGAAAAUCAACAAAGCUAUCAAUGUAGUGAAUAUUUACAGCAAUAGUGGCUAUAAAUACAAUCAUUGUCAAGUUACAAUCACCAUUACAACCAUUGCUUAUUUAACUUUGAUCUCACAAUUUCUUCCUUCAUCAUUCAACAUCUCAAAAGCUCAAUAAUUAGUAAGCUGCUUCAAUAAAACAAUAAACAAACCAUAAUUCACUCUUCAAUGUAUUCAAAAUACACAACCAAUAUUCCUUAGCCAUUUAAAUUGAAGCCAAAGAAGAAAAGAAAAGAAAAAAAAUCUUCCUUUGAUAUUCCAAGUUUUACGCCACUAGCCAUAUGAAGAAGGCAGGCUAGAGCGUAAGAAAAUGCUACUGCCACAAGUAUAGACCAAUUGGGUAAUGAUACCUGCCAUGCCAAUUUCAAGACAAGCAAAAAUCAAUUAUCAUCCCCAGACCAAAAUACCAGCAAAUCUGCCUUUUGAAUAUAAAAUAAUAAGUAAAUAAAUCAAAGAUUUCAAUUCAUUUAAGUUUUAAAUCAAAGAUUUCAACUCAUUUAAGUUUGAAAUCAACUAAAAUAGUAAAAAAAAAAACAAUUUCUUUUUCGUUCAACAUAACUUAUCCAGCAACUUCUUCAACACAUAUUUUCAUUCCAAUUAAAAAAGAAAAACAAUGAGCCCAGGUGACUGAUCCUGCCAUAAUAUACUCCUACCAGUUACCGAAGUCGAGUAUACAUACAACGAUCUUCAUGCAUGAAUAGCCAGGAGGAAAGAAAGGGCGGUAGAUGAUAAUGAAAAAGAUGUGAUCGAGUUUGCGGUAGAAAUUUCUACUCUUCGAUUAGACUCAAAACUUCUUCAAAAGGGUUUCCUUUUCCUCCAUUAUGGGCGGAGUACUGUUGAGAUCAAAUCCCUACCGCCGAGCUGUCAACAACUAACAAGGGUUACUACGGAUAGCUAACAACUGCUUUGCUGCUACUGGCUCACUCUGAAUGAGAUUCCGAUCCCUUUUCCAGUGAGCAAAGCCUUCGAUUCCUUCACGUAAGGGCGGGAUGGAUUGGUUCAAAAGCUUCUCCAGAGCUUUUCAACCUUGAAAAUGGUUGUGGGUUUCAUUUAAUAAGAGAGAAAAUAGUGUUUUGCUUCUUUGGUUUUUUUUUAAUUUAUGAAAUCACUAAUUCACCCUCAUAUACUAACAUUUACGAAAACGUGUACUAACGUUAGGGGAAGUCUCUGUAAUUACAUGAAUACUUUUAUUAGACUAUCAAUACACUAAAGCUCAAGGGAAGUCCUUAAAAAUAACCCUAGAAUUGAAUUGAUAGCUAGAAAAAUUAUGCAUUUCUAGCCAAAUGUAUAAAGAAACAAGAUUUGAUAGUAAAAAACCAAAAACAAACACAAAAUAAACAUUUAAUCAAAGCAAUCGCAUGUAACCAACAACUCUGUAAUAUGACAUAAUUGGUCGUGGCUCGUGGGUUGCAGCUGGGAUUGGGUUCGAUGGGUUUGGUCGUUGCUCGAUUGUGUCACCGGCGUCAUGGGUCACCGUGUGCGAGCCGUCAGGAAGUGGCUCAUGGGUCGCGAUUGGGUUCGAUAGGUUUGGUUGUUGCUCAAUUGUGCCGCCUGCAUCAUGGGUUGCUAAGUGCGUACCGUCAGGUUGUGGCUUGUGGUUAUUAUUAGGUUCGAUUGGUUUGGUCAUGGCUGGGAUUGUUCAUAUGAUUUAUGAACUAGGGUUUUAUUUGUUUUACUUAAUUUCUUUUGUGCUUUUAUUUUUUUUUCUAAAGCACUGCAAAUUUGAUUGGAUUAUUCAGAUUAACCCAGAUCUUAUCCAAUUCGAUUCAAAUCCAAAUCCGAUUUGAAUUUAUUUGGAUCGGAUCGGAUCGUGUUGGAUCGAUCCGAACCUGAUCCGAUGCCCAGCCCUAUUGACGAGACAUUGUAUAAUUGAUUGAAUGAAAAUAUAAAAUAAUAAAAAUAAAUCAUGUGAGUUAAGUAAUGUCUUCAUUCAACCAUUUAUGAAAUGUCACAUCAGUUUGUACAAAAUAGUUUAUACAAAACAUUUAUAUCUAUAUCAUUAUUCUUUUUAUAAAUGCAAUUACAAGUAAUUCAUCAUUUUUUUUUCAAUUAUUGUAUGUUAAUUUCCAUGUGCAAUGUAAAAUAUGAGAAAUAUAAUGAAAGAAAACUAAGAAAUAUAAUAAAGAAUUUAUACAAAUUAUGUUAUACAACCAAGCAUUUUGAAAGAAAAAGAUUUUACAACCAUUGACUUGUGGGUAUGAUUGCGGGUGAAGAGGUGGAGCUAAGAUCAAAAUUCUGGGGAGCCAAAUUUUAUAAAAAGUAAACUUUUAGGGUUUAAAGUUAAUAUAUAUAUAUAUAUAUAUACAUAUGUAUAUGUAUAUAUAUAUAUAGAUAUGUAUAUAUAUAUACAUAUGUGUGUGUGUGUGUGUAUAUGUAUAUAUAUAUAUACAUAUCUAUAUAGAUAUGUAUAUAUAUAUAUACAUAUCUAUAUAUAUAUAUAUAUAUAUAUAUAUAUACAUAUCUAUAUAUAUAUAUAUAUAUAUAUGUACAUAUGUGUAUAUAUAUAUAUACAUACACACACACACACACACACACACACACACACAUAUAUAUAUAUAUAUGUAAUUAUUGAGUUAAAUUGUUAAAGUAUUAAACUUGUAGUGGCAAAUCAUUAAAAAAAAUCUAUUUUAUAAGAUAUCUAUAUAUAUAGGGUCCUUCUAUCUUACAUGCAUGUAAGAUAGGGAUUGCCAUAUAUAUAUAGUUAUAUAUAUACAUACACAUAUUCAUGUAAUUUUCUUAAGACUUAGCAAGUGAUAAAAAUUUCCACUAUAUGAUAGGGCGAUAAAAAGUAGCAUAUUAAAAAUAGUUAGUUAAAUAACAAUAUUAGACAAUCUCUAAAUUACAUUUAGUAACAUACAAUCAUAAAAAAUAAUAGGAAAAUAAGUAAUAGAGUAGGUGGGUCAAGUAGCCAAUUUCAUAUUUUAAAUGUAACUUAAAGACACUACUAGAAAAAUAGUCUUUACUGACACUUGCCUUGCGACACUUUAUUAAAAAGUAUCAGUAAUUUCAUGCAUUUGGGGCAUUUUCCGUGUUUAACAAACAAGUAUCAUAGAUCACUGAUAUUAUAGUGUCAAUAUAUUAAACAUCAGAAAUCAUUGACGCUAAGGUAUCAAUAGCAAAAAAAUUAUCAUUUUAUUUUUGUUUUCGCCUCAACUCGAACCCAAGAUCUCUAAACUUCAAACUUUUACUUUUAAUAGCAAAACCGCUGAGCCUAAAAAAUUUUAUUUGUUUAAUUAUUAAAGUCUUAAAAAUAUAAAAUAUAUCCAUUGCAAUCUAACGCCGCCUCUCUCAUGAAGUCUCUGAAAAUUAAAAUUGAGAGAAAACAAAACUUCUCUAGUGUCAUUUUGUAAGCUACCACGCCAACUAAUUUUUGAUGAGAUUGGAUGAAGAGACAGAGAGAGAUAUCUUUGGUGGACUACGCUUCAUCCUGAGACGAUGACAUAUCAGAGCAGAAAGAUGAACAGUCACGAAACCCUAACGAACAACCACAAAUUUCUACCCACCAGCCUUCUCCUCCUACUCUGCUGGCAAAUCCGACCCGGAGCUUGAACUUCGCCUGCGGUGCGGUAACGCACCACCCUGUUGUGCCAGCAGCCAACUCCAGCGUGUCAGCACAUUCAACAUAGCGUUCAAACUCAUGUGCCUUCCAGACCAGGGGUCUUCGAGCCUGCUGCGUACGAUUAGCCAGCCUUGCAGCUCAUUGACGAAACUAGUUCGGAUUCCGGGGGUGGGCGUCUGGGUCCUAACCAGAUCUUCCUUACUAAGAGGUUGAUAAGACCUCAGGGUAAGAAAGUGAAGGAGAUGAAAGGGGAACGUGGUACAGAUCCUUAACUAAGAAGUACUCUUUAGCAGGUUCCAACAGAAAGUCAAGAUCUAUUGAUGUUCCGUAAUUUCUCUUUUCCUCUUUUAAUUUUGAUUAAAAUUCAAUAUAAUUAUAUUCAACUAAUUUUAGGGUUUCUCAUUUGUGGCAAGGAAAAUCUAGAUUGUCGACUUCAAAUCAAUGGCUGAAAAAUGUGGCACCGCCUUCAUUACACCAUCAGCUUUCAAAAAACAUCUGAUGCUUCUGUUCUCUUGAACUUGGCCUCUAUGCUUGUGGUUUCAAGAACGGACGGUGCCUCUUGAGUUGCGAUUGUAAUGGUGAACAAAUUAAAGGGUACUAUUGAUGGGUAAGAUAGUUAAUACAGUAUAUCCUUUCGCCAUUAAUAAAUAAUUAUUUUUUUAUUACUUUAUUGAAUUGCAUAAGCUUACGAUCUUACUUACUCUAGACUUGAUAAAUAUAAAAUUAUGGGUGAGUAUUGCCCAUACGAUUGUUGAUUUUUUUUGUGAGUACUAUUUUUUCCCAUUGUGGAAGAGCUGUGAAUUGAUUAGUUGAUCUCAAGAUAAUCAUUAUAUAUUUGGCUAAAUUCUGAUACUUAGCUACCAUGUGAAUAUUGGGUGGUAGUACCCCUAACCUUUUCGUUCUCGGUUCUUACAUCAUUUUUCUACUCAAUUCAGUACUUCAUCUUGAUUUCAGUUUUUUGAUUAAUCAACACAUUUGACGGUAGAAGUUCAAAUUAUUAUAUGGGGAUUGAUGAUAUUCGAGUUGCUGCACACUUGAUUUUGAGGUGAAAGAUUAAUUAAUAGUUUACGAAAUUAUGCUGAAAAUUUGAGGAUUGAUAGACUGUUGUUGUGAACUUGGUUGUUUCCGAACUUGACUAAAUGACUUUCAAUUGAUUUGAAAGUUUGAUUAAACUAAGUUUAAAUGAGAACAUUUUAAUUCUGGAAAUUUUGGAAUGAAUUGGGUUUAUAUUUGAUUUUGAAUGGAUUUAUCAAUAUGGUUGGUUGUUGUCCAAUUUUAUUAGAAAUUACAUAUGUACCAUGUUUGAUAUUGCAAACGUAUAGUCUAACAGAGUUAGAAUAAGCUGAAAUCUGGAUAAACUACACUUCUAUUUACAUACUUCGAAUCUGGAAAAAUUUAUUUUGAUUGAACUUGUAAUUUAUUUUUAAUGAUUUUUCAAACUCUGCUGCCUCUGCAGUAACUUCUUUUGACAGAAUUGUUCAUUAAUUUUUGAUCCUAUCAAACACUAGCCUAAUGAUAUCGGAAUAGCCUCAAAUUUUAAUAUGUUGUUGAUUUAUAUGUCCACUUAAAAUCUGGAAAGUAUCAUUAUGAUAUAUUUAGUAUUUUAAAUUUAAUAAAUAUUCAAACACCUGCUGCUACUUUUACAGUUUCAUAUGCAAUUUUAACUUAUAUAGUUUUAUCAUGUGAGAAGCAAAUGUAGAGUUGUCCAAAUGACUUGGAAAUUUUAUUUGUGGUGCAUUGACAUGUCUAAUUAUGUUUUGUAAGUUUCAUAGCAUUCCAAAUUGAAUUAAAGAAAAUCUUAAAUUCAAGCUGUCAAUGUUUCCUAUUAAAUCUGAUUAGUGAUAAAUCUACUAACUUGCAGUACUUUUCAGGAAACAAAAUGUGUCAACACUGUGAAUUGCAAUGGGAGAAGAAAGUACCAAAAGCAUAAAUCUUUUUUCAUUAUAUUUGGGACUAUUCUUAAAGGUUAGUCUUUUCCUUUUUCCUUUUUUUCUUUUUUAUUUAAGGUAAUCAUAUUCAUUUUAAUUUUGCUUGAUUUUGCGGGAUAGUUGAUACAAGCCCGUCCUAGCCAUUGCAAAAUUGACACUAAAAAGGUUCCAGUUUUUCAUAUUGUAGUUUGAAAAGUCUGCAAUGUUUGCUAUGCUGAUGCCCCAUUUGAAUGUUGGAGCCCCAAAAAUGAAUGGUUUUAGGACCAGCCGGGUGGUUCCAGAAAGCUAGGAGCUUGUUAGCUAUUCUUUUUAAUUGAACUAAUUUAACUUAAAUAUUAGUCCGAUUAUUGAUUUCUAUGGUUUGUGAUUGAUUUGAGUUUGACAUUCUUGUUUUGUGUUGGUUUGAGUUUGACAUCCUAGUUUAAGACUUUGAAGGCUUCCAAGAAAUGAUUUUGGAUGAUGAGCAUAUGAGUAAUAGUUUGAAAAUUAAUUUACUGUAUCAAAUAUAUACUUAGUGUAGCAUAUUAAUUUUAAGAACUGUGGAUUAUUCCAUGAAUAUUCUAGUAAAUGGUUAUGUUAUAUAUGCAUGUCUUAAUAUAUAAUAAUUAUAUUUUGAAGUUUUU
rnacentral:lncRNA from 1 species